UUUCCGUAGGUGAACCUGCGGAAGGAUCAUUAUUGUGUAACCGAGGUGCGAGGGCUGUCGCUGACCCGAAAGGUCGUGCACGCCCGAGUGCCCUCACACACAUCCAUCUCACCCCUAUGUGCACCACCGCGUGGGUCCCCCUUUGGCUUGUUCGGAGGGGGGCUUACGUUUUCACACAAACUUUGUAUGCAGUGUCGAAUGUAUUUUUUGUUUUUGCGAUCACGCAAUCAAUACAACUUUCAACAACGGAUCUCUUGGCUCUC
rnacentral:misc_RNA from 1 species